AUUUAUCGUUAUGUUCAGAUCCCUUCAAUUCUUGCUAACCUUGGGCUUGAUACCCGAAGAUGGUCGCGGAAACUCUUCCGCUCCUUAACGGCGUCGUUGCGAACGGAGGUCUAAGCUUAAACCCUAACCCUGACCCGGCCUCCGCCAAGAAAUCCCGUGAGAGCGAACGGCGUCGCCGCCGGCGUAAGCAGAAGAAGAACAAGAAAGCCUCCCAGGCGGCGGACCCCUCGGCCUUUGACGACAACGACGCUGCCGAUAAGAAUGCCGAGGAGAAUAACGAUCCUCAACAGCUUGUGGAGCAAGUUGAAGUGGAGUAUGUCCCAGAGCAGGCAGAGCUUGAUGAUGGCCUGGAUGAAGAAUUCAGAAAAGUUUUUGAGAAAUUCAAUUUUCGUGAAACUGCCAGUACACAGGAGAAUGAUAACAAGGUCGAGUCUGUCCCAAAUGCAGCAGCGACCAAGAAGGCUGACUCAGAUUCAGAAGAGGAAGAACAAGAUAACCAACAAAAAGAGAAAGGCGUAUCCAAUAAGAAAAAAAAGCUUCAACGGCGGAUGAAGAUUGCUGAACUGAAGCAAAUUUGCUCAAGGCCUGAUGUUGUUGAGGUGUGGGACGCAACCUCUGCAGACCCAAAGUUGCUAGUUUAUUUGAAAUCGUACCGAAAUACUGUUCCAGUCCCCAGGCAUUGGAGCCAGAAAAGGAAAUUUUUGCAGGGAAAGCGUGGUAUCGAGAAACAACCUUUCCAGCUUCCUGAUUUUAUUGCUGCAACCGGGAUUGAGAAAAUCCGACAGGCUUACAUUGAAAAAGAGGACAGUAAAAAGUUGAAGCAGAAGCAACGAGAGCGGAUGCAGCCAAAGAUGGGAAAGAUGGAUAUUGACUAUCAGGUUCUUCAUGAUGCAUUCUUUAAAUACCAAACUAAGCCAAAGCUUACAAGUCUUGGAGAUCUGUAUCAUGAAGGGAAAGAGUUCGAGGUGAAGUUAAGGGAAAUGAAGCCAGGCAUGCUGUCACUAGAACUAAAAGAAGCUCUCGGUAUGCCAGAGGGUGCUCCUCCCCCAUGGCUCAUUAAUAUGCAGAGAUAUGGUCCGCCACCAUCCUACCCACAUCUGAAAAUUCCUGGUUUGAAUGCUCCUAUCCCUCCUGGAGCUAGCUUUGGUUACCAUCCCGGUGGCUGGGGCAAGCCUCCUGUUGAUGAGUUUGGACGUCCUUUGUACGGAGAUGUAUUUGGUGUUCAUCAACAAGAUCAGCCUAACUAUGAGGAAGAGCCAGUUGAUAAGACCAAACACUGGGGGGAUUUGGAAGAGGAGGAGGAAGAAGAAGAGGAGGAGGAAGAGGAAGAAGAGAUUGAAGAAGAAGAAUUAGAGGCUGGCAUUCAGUCUGUAGAUAGCCUCUCAAGCACUCCUACUGGUGUUGAGACACCGGAUGUUAUUGACCUUCGAAAGCAGCAGAGAAAGGAACCUGAGAGGCCACUUUACCAAGUACUGGAAGAAAAAGAAGAGAAAAUUGCUCCUGGGACCUUGCUUGGAACGACGCACACAUACGUUGUUAACACUGGCACCCAAGACAAGGCGGCUGGCAAAAGGGUUGAUCUGCUUAGAGGUCAGAAAUCAGAUAAAGUGGAUGUCACUCUACAGCCAGAAGAGUUGGAAGCCAUGGAGAAUGUGUUGCCAGCAAAGUAUGAGGAAGCAAGGGAGGAAGAGAAGCUGCGGAGUCAGCGGGAAGAUUUCAGUGACAUGGUUGCAGAGAACGAGAAGAAAAGGAAGCGGAAGAUGCAAGAAAAGGACGGGAAGUCAAAGAAGAAGGAUUUCAAGUUCUAGAGCGCAUGUCCGAGUGGUGUUCCUUGAGGAGGGUAGACAGGGCAAUCAUGAGGCUAGCGGUACUUUCCAUGGAGAGUAUAGAAUUUCCUGGUUUUACUCUGUGCAUCGAAACACAACUGAAGACAUCCAUCCUGGAAGAAUACAAUGGCAACUUCUGAGUGAUGUUUUAUUUCUUUUUAAACCAUUAUGUAUAAUUGGGGGAGAGAUUAAAGAUCAAGACUUGCCAUUCAUUGGUCACAUUAAAAAAUGCCGACUCCACA